ensembl:lncRNA
GUCAGUGGUAUGGUCAGAUAGACUAGUGGUUAGAGUGGUGGUCAGUAACUGGUAUGGUCAGAUAGACUAGUGGUUAGAUGGUGGGUCAGUAACUGGUAUGGUCAGAUAGACUAGUGGUUAGAGUGGUGGGUCAGUAACUGGUAUGGUCAGAUAGACUAGUGGUUAGAGUGUUGGGUCAGUAACUGGUAUGGUCAGGUAGACUAGUGGUUAGAGUGGUGGGUCAGUAACUGGUAUCGCUGGUUUGAAAACCUGACCCGUCAAGGUGAAAAUCUGUCGAUGUGCCCUUAAGCAAGACACUUACAUCUAAUUUGCUCCAUGGUCACCAUACUACUAUGACCCUGUAAAACAACACCUAUCAUCCUACUAUGACUGACCCUGUAAAACAACACCUAUCAUACUACCUGUAGUCGAUAUCAUCUACUGUAUCUUGCCUAUGCUGCUCUGUACCAUCACUCAUUCAUAUAUCCUUAUGUACAUAUUCUU